rnacentral:rRNA from 1 species
UGGGGAAUAUUGGACAAUGGGCGCAAGCCUGAUCCAGCCAUGCCGCGUGAGUGAUGAAGGCCUUCGGGUUGUAAAGCUCUUUCACCCACGACGAUGAUGACGGUAGUGGGAGAAGAAGCCCCGGCUAACUUCGUGCCAGCAGCCGCGGUAAUACGAAGGGGGCAAGCGUUGUUCGGAAUGACUGGGCGUAAAGGGCGCGUAGGCGGUUCGUUGCGUCAGAUGUGAAAGCCCCGGGCUCAACCUGGGAACUGCAUUUGAUACGGGCGAGCUUGAAUCCAAGAGAGGGUGGUGGAAUUCCCAGUGUAGAGGUGAAAUUCGUAGAUAUUGGGAAGAACAACAGUGGCGAAGGCGGCCACCUGGCUUGGUAUUGACGCUGAGGCGCGAAAGCGUGGGGAGCAAACAGG